UACGUAGGGUGCGAGCGUUAAUCGGAAUUACUGGGCGUAAAGCGUGCGCAGGCGGUUUUGCAAGCCGGAUGUGAAAUCCCCAGGCUCAACCUGGGAACUGCGUCCGAUACUGGAUGGCUUGAAUUCGGGAGAGGGAUGCAGAAUUCCAGGUGUAGCGGUGAAAUGCGUAGAUAUCUGGAGGAAUACCGGUGGCGAAGGCGGCAUCCUGGACCGACAUUGACGCUGAUGAGCGAAAGCUAGGGGAGCAAACGGG
rnacentral:rRNA from 1 species